UACAGAGGUGGCAAGCGUUGUUCGGAAUUACUGGGCGUAAAGGGCGCGUAGGCGGUCUUUUAAGUCUUGUGUGAAAUCCCUCGGCUCAACUGAGGAACUGCACGGGAUACUGGAAGACUUGAGUUCGGGAGAGGGAAGCGGAAUUCCGGGUGUAGCGGUGAAAUGCGUAGAUAUCUGGAGGAACACCGGUGGCGAAGGCGACAUCCUGGACCAACACUGACGCUGAGGAGCGAAAGCCAGGGGAGCAAACGGG
rnacentral:rRNA from 1 species